rnacentral:rRNA from 1 species
CCGAAGAGAAAUCGUGAAACGCACCACCUGGGAAGUACGGUCGCAAGGCUGAAACUUAAAGGAAUUGGCGGGGGAGCACCACAACAGGUGGAGCUUGCGGUUUAAUUGGAUUCAACGCCGGG